CGCACUUUUCGGGGUUUUUAUUUCCUCUUUUUCUUCGUUUUCAGUUUGUUAUGAAAGUUUAAUUAUUGACGCUCGUAAAGCUAGUGACGCAUGUGAAGCAUGUGACGCUUGUGACGCAUGUGACGCAUGUGACGCACUUUUUGCGUUUUUUGUGAUUUUCAGAUUCUACUUUUUCACUUUCUGUCGUUUUUAGUUUAUGUUUUUCCUUGUCUAUAUAUAUCUAUGUAUCUCAACACUAAGGGAGCGGGGAGAAAUACAUAAUCUAUAUGGAUUUACUUGUUAAUGCCUUGAGGUUUUACAUGGUAACGUAAUCUUUAGUUGUAGUAAUAUAAACAAAUCUAUAAACUAUAGCGAAAGGUAUAACUAAUUAUUGAAGUGCUAUUGUCUCAUGUUUAAUAGACACUUCAGUAAUAGUAGUACUCUUUUUACGUGUCUGCUUCUCCUUUAACUGUUACUUUUAGAGCAAGACUUAUACACGCUUUUGAGUAACUUCCCAGCUCUUUGUUAAUUCGUUGUUCAACGUAGUUUAUAUCUAAGUUUUCAGCAUGUAGUAUCAGCACUCCAUCGUGCAUGUUUCCUACAAUAUACACAGGUAAUCCUUCAGAACACAUGGCCAUUAGUUCCAGCGUUACUUUAGCAAUGAAAAGACUUUCCCAAGCACAGAAUAUUGNGGAAGCAUACUUAUAAGCUGCCUCUUUAUGUAUCUUCUCCCCUUCUUCGGUGUUUGUACUGAAACGAAAAAUUGGUUGAGUGGAAAUUGGAACAUACAUUCCUCNNN
rnacentral:lncRNA from 1 species